rnacentral:rRNA from 1 species
CUGCCCUGUACCGGGGGACAACAGCCAGAAAUGGCUGCUAAUACCGCAUAAUCCUGCGCUGCCGCAUGGCAGCGCAGGGAAAACUCCGGUGGUACAGGAUGGUCCCGCGUCUGAUUAGCUUGUUGGCGGGGUAACGGCCCACCAAGGCGACGAUCAGUAGCCGGCUUGAGAGAGCGGACGGCCACAUUGGGACUGAGACACGGCCCAGACUCCUGCGGGAGGCAGCAGUGGGGAAUAUUGCACAAUGGGGGGAACCCUGAUGCAGCAAUGCCGCGUGGGUGAAGAAGUACCCCGGUAUGUAAAGCCCUGUCAGCAGGGAAGAAAAUGACGGUACCUGACUAAGAAGCCCCGGCUAACUACGUGCCAGCAGCCGCGGUAAUACGUAGGGGGCGAGCGUUAUCCGGAUUUACUGGGUGUAAAGGGAGCGCAGGCGGCGUGGCAAGUCAGAUGUGAAAACCCGGGGCCCAACCCCGGGACUGCAUUUGAAACUGCCAUGCUGGAGUGCCGGAGAGGCAAGUGGAAUUCCUAGUGUAGCGGUGAAAUGCGUAGAUAUUAGGAGGAACACCAGUGGCGGAGGCGGCUUGCUGGACGGUAACUGACGCUGAGGCUCGAAAGCGUGGGGAGCAAACAGGAUUAGAUACCCUGGUAGUCCACGCCGUAAAC